rnacentral:rRNA from 1 species
GGAUUAGAUACCCUGGUAGUCCACGCCGUAAACGAUGAUCACUCGUUGUUGGCGAUACAUUGUCAGCGACCGAGCGAAAGCAUUAAGUGAUCCACCUGGGGAGUACGUCGGCAACGAUGAAACUCAAAGGAAUUGACGGGGGCCCGCACAAGCGGAGGAACAUGUGGUUUAAUUCGAUGAUACGCGAGGAACCUUACCUGGACUUAAAUGUAGGCUGCAUGGGCCAGAGAUGGCCCUUUCUUCGGACCGCCUACAAGGUGCUGCAUGGUUGUCGUCAGCUCGUGCCG